GAUGAACGCUGGCGGCGUGCCUAACACAUGCAAGUCGAGCGAACCUUUCGGGGUGAGCGGCGGACGGGUGAGUAACGCGUGGGUAACCUGCCCUAUACACACGGAUAACGUCCCGAAAGGUACGAUAAUCCGGGAUAAAGUUGUUGGAUGGCAUCUUCGAACAAUCAAAGCUCAGGCGGUAUAGGAUGGACCCGCGUCUGAUUAGCUAGUUGGUGAGGUAAUGGCUCACCAAGGCGACGAUCAGCAGCCGACCUGAGAGGGUGAUCGGCCACACUGGAACUGAGACACGGUCCAGACUCCUACGGGAGGCAGCAGUGGGGAAUAUUGCACAAUGGGCGAAAGCCUGAUGCAGCAACGCCGCGUGAGCGAUGAAGGUCUUCGGAUCGUAAAGCUCUGUCCUCAAGGAAGAUAAUGACGGUACUUGAGGAGGAAGCCCCGGCUAACUACGUGCCAGCCGCCGCGGUAA
rnacentral:rRNA from 1 species